UGUGUGUGAGCCAGUGUGUGUGAGUGUGUCAGUGUGUAUGAGCCAGUGUGUGUGUGUGUGUGUGUCAGUGUGUAUGAGCCAGUGUCUAUGAGCCAGUCAGCAUGAGCCAGUGUUUGAUUGGCUGGAUGCGGAUUCCGUCACUUCCUGUCAAGUGACAGCUCACUCAACAGCUUCCAUGUUUAUUUUUUAUUUGUAAGAAAUGUAUUUGUUAUUGUCGCUGUGUGUUUUUAUUCGUAAUCCAGUCUGCUGCACGGUGUCGCUGGACGCAGACGGUGUAUCGGAUCAUGAGUCGACACAGCACUAUUAUUAGCUGAUGUGGUUCUUUAAGAUCUGAAGACCAGGAAGACAACCCUGUACCUGGACCCGUGCUUGCGUUAGACUGAGUUCUCCUCGACGCAGAAAAUGUCGAUAAUGGACCACAGCCCCACCACCGGUGUCGUGACGCUCAUAGUGACCCUGAUAGCCAUUGCAGCCUUGGGAGCGCUGAUCUUCGGCUGCUGGUGCUACUUGCGACUGCAACGCUUCACUCAGUCAGAGGAUGAGGAGAGCAUCGUUGGUGAGGGUGAAACCAAAGAGCCCUUCCUCCUGGUGCAGUACUCGGCCCAUGUCCCUCGGGCUGAUCAUAAGAGCAAACUCACUCCAAUGGGCACAGAGAGCCACAGCUAAUUGUUCUCUUCAUAAAACCCUGUUCUGCGUGUGGGAAUGUGGUUGAUUCAUGGAGUUACCAUCCUGUUGUAAUGAGAACCGGUUUCAGAUCAAACGUAGAACUAAGCUAAUGUAUGUAUUUGUCCAGCUGCUUGUAAAAAGUCUCCUUGAAUGUUUUUUGCACUUUGUGGUAGUCCAGUGGAACCCUGUUAUAAUGUGAAACUGGUGCAUUUCUGUUUUUGUUUAUUUGUUUGUUUUAAUUUACGACUCGCUGACAUUUAUUUAUCUGCUGAAUUAUGUCCUUGGGUGCAGAUACAUUUUCUUAUGUGCUCUUUUAGAUGAACCCUAGUUUUAGCCAGAGCAGGCUCUGGUGUAAAGUCUCUAUGUUAAUAUGUCAAUUAAAUCAGUCGUACGUCAUCAUAGUAAGUGAAUACGGAAGGCUGUCUCGUCUUUUAGCACGGAAAUCCGAGUCAUGUUUAAUUUCUACACGUGACGUUAGAUGCCCCGAUGCUCUGAUCUGCUAAGAAGCCGUCGUGAACGAAAGCCAGUGACUGGGUGUCAGUGUGUGGAGAUGCACCAGGAAGACCUCAGAGGUGAUCGUUACGUUGGCUGAGCACAUUGCUGUGUAUGGAAUUAGAUGAGGUCUCAUGAAAGCGGUUUCAAUAUAUAUACAGUAUAUAAUUUUAUAUAUAUAUAUAGUCUUUCACUUCUGUCAUGCUGAAACUGUCUGAUGCACAUCUUUGUAAGAAGUGGAUUUGAGUGAAUAAACAUUGAUUUGUGUGUGA